rnacentral:rRNA from 1 species
GAUGAACGCUGGCGGCGUGCCUAAUACAUGCAAGUCGAGCGAACGGACGAGAAGCUUGCUUCUCUGAUGUUAGCGGCGGACGGGUGAGUAACACGUGGAUAACCUACCUAUAAGACUGGGAUAACUUCGGGAAACCGUAGCUAAUACCGGAUAAUAUUUUGAACCGCAUGGUUCAAAAGUGAAAGACGGUCUUGCUGUCACUUAUAGAUGGAUCCGCGCUGCAUUAGCUAGUUGGUAAGGUAACGGCUUACCAAGGCAACGAUGCAUAGCCGACCUGAGAGGGCGAUCGGCCACACUGGAACUGAGACACGGUCCAGACUCCUACGGGAGGCAGCAGUAGGGAAUCUUCCGCAAUGGGCGAAAGCCUGACGGAGCAACGCCGCGUGAGUGAUGAAGGUCUUCGGAUCGUAAAACUCUGUUAUUAGGGAAGAACAUAUGUGUAAGUAACUGUGCACAUCUUGACGGUACCUAAUCAGAAAGCCACGGCUAACUACGUG